UUUGACCUCGAAUCAGGUAGGAUUACCCGCU
rnacentral:rRNA from 8 species